rnacentral:rRNA from 1 species
AGUGAACGCUGGCGGUAGGCCUAACACAUGCAAGUCGAACGGCAGCACAGUAAUAGCUUUCUCUUACGGGUGGCGAGUGGCGGACGGGUGAGGUAUACAUCGGAAUCUACUUUUUCGUGGGGGAGAACGUAGGGAAACUUACGCUAAUACCUCAUACGACCUACGGGUGAGAGCAGGAGAUCUUCGGACCUUGCGCGAUUGAAUGAGCCGAUGUCGGAUUAGCUAGUUGGCGGGGUAAAGGCCCACCAAGGCGACGAUCCGUAGCUGGUCUGAGAGGAUGAACCGCCACACUGGAACUGAGAGACGGUCCAGAGUCCUACGGGAGGCAGCAGUGGGGAAUAUUGGAAAAUGGGGGGAAGACUGAUCCAGCCAUACAGGGCGGGUGAAGAAGGCCUUCGGGUUGUAAAGCCCUUUUGUUGGGAAAGACAAGCAGCAGGUUAAUACCACGCUGUUCUGACGGUACCCAAAGAAUAAGCACCGGCUAACUUCGUG